rnacentral:rRNA from 1 species
CAGUCGCCGCGGUAAUGCGGAGGGGGCUAGCGUUGUUCGGAAUUACUGGGCGUAAAGCGCACGUAGGCGGCUUGGUAAGUUAGAGGUGAAAGCCUGGAGCUCAACUCCAGAAUUGCCUUUAAGACUGCCGAGCUAGCAGGUGAGAGAGGUAAGUGGAAUUCCGAGUGUAGAGGUGAAAUUCGUAGAUAUUCGGAAGAACGCCAGUGGCGAAGGCGGCUUACUGGCUCAUACUGGACGCUGAGGCGCGAAAGCGUGGGGAGCAAACAGGAUUAGAUACCCCAGUAGUCCCUGUCUCUUAUAC